rnacentral:rRNA from 1 species
UACAGAGGUCUCGAGCGUUAGGCGGAAUCACUGGGCUUAAAGCGUGUGUAGGCGGAUCGGUAAGUACCUUGUGAAAUCCCACAGCUUAACUGUGGAACUGCUUGGUAUACUGCCGGUCUUGAGCCAGCUAGGGGCUACCGGAACAAAUGGUGGAGCGGUGAAAUGCGUAGAUAUCAUUUGGAACGCCAAUGGUGAAAACAGGUAGCUGGGGCUGUGCUGACGCUGAGACGCGAAAGCGUGGGGAGCAAACAGG